rnacentral:lncRNA from 1 species
AAGAAUUCAUCGUCGGAGACAGACACGCGAUCUAGGACACUUCCUAGUCAGAAUGUGUGUUGGUUAAGGCUGAUGUCAUGGGUUCCCAUUUACUACCAACUAUUCCACUAAUAGUUGUGUUGGUGUGAUUGGCCUUCAUGGCCCUUUGUAUGUAAGACUUGACCGUAAUGGUCUUUGUUGUAUCAGAUGUUAAUUUUGGAUGUAAGACUCUUGUUGUUCAGUAUCUGUGUGUUCGGU